GCUUGCUCCACCGGAAAAAGAAGAGUGGCGAACGGGUGAGUAACACGUGGGUAACCUGCCCAUCAGAAGGGGAUAACACUUGGAAACAGGUGCUAAUACCGUAUAACAAUCAAAACCGCAUGGUUUUGAUUUGAAAGGCGCUUUCGGGUGUCGCUGAUGGAUGGACCCGCGGUGCAUUAGCUAGUUGGUGAGGUAACGGCUCACCAAGGCCACGAUGCAUAGCCGACCUGAGAGGGUGAUCGGCCACAUUGGGACUGAGACACGGCCCAAACUCCUACGGGAGGCAGCAGUAGGGAAUCUUCGGCAAUGGACGAAAGUCUGACCGAGCAACGCCGCGUGAGUGAAGAAGGUUUUCGGAUCGUAAAACUCUGUUGUUAGAGAAGAACAAGGAUGAGAGUAACUGUUCAUCCCUUGACGGUAUCUAACCAGAAAGCCACGGCUAACUACGUGCCAGCAGCCGCGGUAAUACGUAGGUGGCAAGCGUUGUCCGGAUUUAUUGGGCGUAAAGCGAGCGCAGGCGGUUUCUUAAGUCUGAUGUGAAAGCCCCCGGCUCAACCGGGGAGGGUCAUUGGAAACUGGGAGACUUGAGUGCAGAAGAGGAGAGUGGAAUUCCAUGUGUAGCGGUGAAAUGCGUAGAUAUAUGGAGGAACACCAGUGGCGAAGGCGGCUCUCUGGUCUGUAACUGACGCUGAGGCUCGAAAGCGUGGGGAGCAAACAGGAUUAGAUACCCUGGUAGUCCACGCCGUAAACGAUGAGUGCUAAGUGUUGGAGGGUUUCCGCCCUUCAGUGCUGCAGCUAACGCAUUAAGCACUCCGCCUGGGGAGUACGACCGCAAGGUUGAAACUCAAAGGAAUUGACGGGGGCCCGCACAAGCGGUGGAGCAUGUGGUUUAAUUCGAAGCAACGCGAAGAACCUUACCAGGUCUUGACAUCCUUUGACCACUCUAGAGAUAGAGCUUCCCCUUCGGGGGCAAAGUGACAGGUGGUGCAUGGUGGUCGUCAGCUCGUGUCGUGAGAUGUUGGGUUAAGUCCCGCAACGAGCGCAACCCUUAUUGUUAGUUGCCAUCAUUCAGUUGGGCAUUCUAGCAAGACUGCCGGUGACAAACCGGAGGAAGGUGGGGAUGACGUCAAAUCAUCAUGCC
rnacentral:rRNA from 1 species